CGGGGUGAGUAACGCGUGGAUAACCUGCCUUACACUGGGGGAUAACACUUAGAAAUAGGUGCUAAUACCGCAUAAGCGCACAGAGCCGCAUGGCUCAGUGUGAAAAACUCCGGUGGUGUAAGAUGGAUCCGCGUCUGAUUAGCUGGUUGGCGGGGUAGAAGCCCACCAAGGCGACGAUCAGUAGCCGGCCUGAGAGGGUGAACGGCCACAUUGGGACUGAGACACGGCCCAAACUCCUACGGAAGGCAGCAG
rnacentral:rRNA from 1 species